rnacentral:rRNA from 1 species
GGUUAAGCGACUAAGCGUACACGGUGGAUGCCCUGGCAGUCAGAGGCGAUGAAGGACGUGCUAAUCUGCGAUAAGCGUCGGUAAGGUGAUAUGAACCGUUAUAACCGGCGAUUUCCGAAUGGGGAAACCCAGUGUGUUUCGACACACUAUCAUUAACUGAAUCCAUAGGUUAAUGAGGCGAACCGGGGGAACUGAAACAUCUAAGUACCCCGAGGAAAAGAAAUCAACCGAGAUUCCCCCAGUAGCGGCGAGCGAACGGGGAGCAGCCCAGAGCCUGAAUCAGUGUGUGUGUUAGUGGAAGCGUCUGGAAAGGCGCGCGAUACAGGGUGACAGCCCCGUACACAAAAAUGCACAUGCUGUGAGCUCGAUGAGUAGGGCGGGACACGUGGUAUCCUGUCUGAAUAUGGGGGGACCAUCCUCCAAGGCUAAAUACUCCUGACUGACCGAUAGUGAACCAGUACCGUGAGGGAAAGGCGAAAAGAACCCCGGCGAGGGGAGUGAAAAAGAACCUGAAACCGUGUACGUACAAGCAGUGGGAGCACGCUUCGGCGUGUGACUGCGUACCUUUUGUAUAAUGGGUCAGCGACUUAUAUUCUGUAGCAAGGUUAACCGAAUAGGGGAGCCGAAGGGAAACCGAGUCUUAACUGGGCGUUAAGUUGCAGGGUAUAGACCCGAAACCCGGUGAUCUAGCCAUGGGCAGGUUGAAGGUUGGGUAACACUAACUGGAGGACCGAACCGACUAAUGUUGAAAAAUUAGCGGAUGACUUGUGGCUGGGGGUGAAAGGCCAAUCAAACCGGGAGAUAGCUGGUUCUCCCCGAAAGCUAUUUAGGUAGCGCCUCGUGAAUUCAUCUCCGGGGGUAGAGCACUGUUUCGGCAAGGGGGUCAUCCCGACUUACCAACCCGAUGCAAACUGCGAAUACCGGAGAAUGUUAUCACGGGAGACACACGGCGGGUGCUAACGUCCGUCGUGAAGAGGGAAACAACCCAGACCGCCAGCUAAGGUCCCAAAGUCAUGGUUAAGUGGGAAACGAUGUGGGAAGGCCCAGACAGCCAGGAUGUUGGCUUAGAAGCAGCCAUCAUUUAAAGAAAGCGUAAUAGCUCACUGGUCGAGUCGGCCUGCGCGGAAGAUGUAACGGGGCUAAACCAUGCACCGAAGCUGCGGCAGCGACGCUGAUGCGUUGUUGGGUAGGGGAGCGUUCUGUAAGCCUGCGAAGGUGUGCUGUGAGGCAUGCUGGAGGUAUCAGAAGUGCGAAUGCUGACAUAAGUAACGAUAAAGCGGGUGAAAAGCCCGCUCGCCGGAAGACCAAGGGUUCCUGUCCAACGUUAAUCGGGGCAGGGUGAGUCGACCCCUAAGGCGAGGCCGAAAGGCGUAGUCGAUGGGAAACAGGUUAAUAUUCCUGUACUUGGUGUUACUGCGAAGGGGGGACGGAGAAGGCUAUGUUGGCCGGGCGACGGUUGUCCCGGUUUAAGCGUGUAGGCUGGUUUUCCAGGCAAAUCCGGAAAAUCAAGGCUGAGGCGUGAUGACGAGGCACUACGGUGCUGAAGCAACAAAUGCCCUGCUUCCAGGAAAAGCCUCUAAGCAUCAGGUAACAUCAAAUCGUACCCCAAACCGACACAGGUGGUCAGGUAGAGAAUACCAAGGCGCUUGAGAGAACUCGGGUGAAGGAACUAGGCAAAAUGGUGCCGUAACUUCGGGAGAAGGCACGCUGAUAUGUAGGUGAAGUCCCUCGCGGAUGGAGCUGAAAUCAGUCGAAGAUACCAGCUGGCUGCAACUGUUUAUUAAAAACACAGCACUGUGCAAACACGAAAGUGGACGUAUACGGUGUGACGCCUGCCCGGUGCCGGAAGGUUAAUUGAUGGGGUUAGCGCAAGCGAAGCUCUUGAUCGAAGCCCCGGUAAACGGCGGCCGUAACUAUAACGGUCCUAAGGUAGCGAAAUUCCUUGUCGGGUAAGUUCCGACCUGCACGAAUGGCGUAAUGAUGGCCAGGCUGUCUCCACCCGAGACUCAGUGAAAUUGAACUCGCUGUGAAGAUGCAGUGUACCCGCGGCAAGACGGAAAGACCCCGUGAACCUUUACUAUAGCUUGACACUGAACAUUGAGCCUUGAUGUGUAGGAUAGGUGGGAGGCUUAGAAGUGUGGACGCCAGUCUGCAUGGAGCCGACCUUGAAAUACCACCCUUUAAUGUUUGAUGUUCUAACGUGGACCCGUAAUCCGGGUUGCGGACAGUGUCUGGUGGGUAGUUUGACUGGGGCGGUCUCCUCCUAAAGAGUAACGGAGGAGCACGAAGGUUGGCUAAUCCUGGUCGGACAUCAGGAGGUUAGUGCAAUGGCAUAAGCCAGCUUGACUGCGAGCGUGACGGCGCGAGCAGGUGCGAAAGCAGGUCAUAGUGAUCCGGUGGUUCUGAAUGGAAGGGCCAUCGCUCAACGGAUAAAAGGUACUCCGGGGAUAACAGGCUGAUACCGCCCAAGAGUUCAUAUCGACGGCGGUGUUUGGCACCUCGAUGUCGGCUCAUCACAUCCUGGGGCUGAAGUAGGUCCCAAGGGUAUGGCUGUUCGCCAUUUAAAGUGGUACGCGAGCUGGGUUUAGAACGUCGUGAGACAGUUCGGUCCCUAUCUGCCGUGGGCGCUGGAGAACUGAGGGGGGCUGCUCCUAGUACGAGAGGACCGGAGUGGACGCAUCACUGGUGUUCGGGUUGUCAUGCCAAUGGCACUGCCCGGUAGCUAAAUGCGGAAGAGAUAAGUGCUGAAAGCAUCUAAGCACGAAACUUGCCCCGAGAUGAGUUCUCCCUGACUCCUUGAGAGUCCUGAAGGAACGUUGAAGACGACGACGUUGAUAGGCCGGGUGUGUAAGCGCAGCGAUGCGUUGAGCUAACCGGUACUAAUGAACCGUGAGGCUUAACCUU